GGCGAGUUUUGUGAAAAUAAUUGUAUAAUGUUGGAGAUUAAAUGUUAGUUACGUAAGCGCAUCACUGUUUUUAUAUCCUGUGGUUUUUGUCGUUGAUGGAAUAUGUUCUUUGUUGUUAUGAAGUUUGCAUGUUGUGUCGACUUUUAUAUUAUUUGUUGGUCACCGAACGGUCUUUGAUAUUGCUAUUAUCUUGUCAUGUUUAGUUGGAGAGAGGUUUUCGUAGUAUCAGUAUUGUUAUUAUUUUUUCAUGUUUUGUGGCGGAGAGCUUUGUAGACGAAAGGUGCGUCUGGCGUAAAUAUUAAAUUUUAUUCCUGGUAUCUAUGAUGAGUUUAUUCGUAGUAUAAUUAUUGUAAUUCUUUUGUUAUGUUUUGUUCGAGAGAAGUCUUCGUAGUAUAAAAAUUGUAAUUCUUAUGUCAUGUUUUAUGGGAGAGAAGUCUCCUUAGUAUCAAUAUUGUAGUUCUUUUGUCAUGUUUUGUGGGAGAGAAGUCAUCGUAGUAUAAAAAAUGUAAUUAUUUUGUCAUGUUUUGUGGGAGACAAGUCUUCUUAGUAUCAGUAUUAUAAUUCUUUUGUCGUGUUUUGUGGGAGAGAAGCCAUCGUUGUAUCAGUAUUGUAAUUCUUUUGUCAUGUUUUGUGGGAGAGAAGUCGUCGUAGUAUAAAAAGUGUAAUUCUUAUGUCAUGUUUUGUGGGAGAGAAGUCUUUAAGUAUAAUAUUGGAUUUUUUGUCAUGUUUUAUUGGAGACAAAUCUUCGUAGUAUCAAUAUUAUAAUUCUUUUGUCAUGUUUUGUAGGAGAGACGUCUUCGAAGUAUCAGUAUUGUAAUUAUUUGGUCGUUUUUUGUAGGAGAGAAGUCUUCUUAGUAUCAGUAUUUGUAAUCUUUUGUCAUGUUUUGUAGGAGAGAAGUCUUCGUAGUAUCAGUAUUGUAAUUCUUUUGUCAUGUUUUGUGGGAGCGAAGUCUUCUUAGUAUCAGUAUUGUAAUCCUUUGUCGUUUUUUGUAGGAGAGAAGUCUUCUUAGUAUCAGUAUUGUAAUUCUUUUGUCAUGUUUUGUAGGAGAGAAGUCUUCUUCAGUAGUAAUUCUUAAUGGGAGAGAAGUUCUUUAUAUCUAUUGUAGUUCUGUUGUCGUGUAGGAGAGAAGUCUUCUUAGAUCAGUAUUGUAAUUCUUUUGUCAGUUUUGUAGGAGAGAAGUCUUCGUAGUAUCAGUAUUGUAAUUCUUUGUCUUUUGUGAGAGAAGUUUUAGUAUCAUAUUGUAAUUCUUUGUGUCAUGUUUUGUAGGAGAGAAGUCUUCGUAGUUAUCUAUUAUAAUUCUUUUGUCAUGUUUUUGUGGGAGCGAGUCCUCUUAGAAGUAUUGUAUUCUUUUGUUGUUUGUAGGAGAGAAUCUCGUAGUAUCAGUAUUGUAAUUCUUAUGUCAUGUUUUAUGGGAGAGAAGUCUCCUUAGUAUCAAUAUUGUAGUUCUUUUGUCGUUUUUUGUAGGAGAGAAGUCUUCUUAGUAUCAGUAUUGUAAUUCUUUUGUCAUGUUUUGUGGGAGAGAAGUCUUCGUAGUAUCAGUAUUGUAGUUCUUUUGUCAUGUUUUGUGGGAGAGAAGUCAUCGUAGUAUAAAAAUUGUAAUUAUUUUGUCAUGUUUUGUGGAGACAAGUCUUUUUAGUAUCAGUAUUGUAAUUCUUUUGUCGUGUUUUGUAGGAGAGAAGCCAUCGUAGUAUAAAAAGUGUACUUCUUAUGUCAUGUUUUGUGGGAGAGAAGUCUUUUAGUAUCAAUAUUGAAUUCUUUUGUCUGUUUUUUUGGAGACAAAUCUUCGUAGUUUGCAAUAUAUAAUUCUUUUGUUGCUUUGUAGAAGAGUCUUGAAUAUAUAAGUAUUCUUGUCGUCUUUUGUAGGAGAGAAGUCUUCUUAGUAUCAGUAUUGUAAUUCUUUUGUCAUGUUUUGUGGGAGAGAAGUCUCCUUAGUAUCAAUAUUGUAGUUUUUUUGUCAUGUUUUGUGGGAGAGAAGUCAUCGUAGUAUAAAAAUUGUAAUUAUUUUGUCAUGUUUGUGGAGACAAGUCUUCUUAGUAUCAGUAUUGUAAUUCUUUUGUCGUUUUUUGUGGGAGAGAAGCCAUCGUUGUAACAGUAUUGCAAUUCUUUUGUCAUGUUUUGUGGGAGAGAAGUCGUCGUAGUAUAAAAAGUGUAAUUCUUAUGUCAUGUUUUGUGGGAGAGAAGUCUUUUUAGUAUCAAUAUUAUAAUUCUUUUGUCAUGUUUUAUUGGAGACAAAUUUUCGUAGUAUCAAUAUUAUAAUUAUUUUGUCAUGUUUUGUAGGAGAGAAGUCUUCGAAGUAUCAGUAUUGUAAUUCUUUUGUCGUUUUUUGUAGGAGAUAAGUCUUCUUAGUAUCAGUAUUGUAAUUCUUUUGUCAUGUUUUGUAGGAGAGAAGUCGUCGUAGUAUCAGUAUUGUAAUUCUUUUGUCAAGUUUUGUAGGAGAGAAGCCAUCGUAGUAUCAGUAUUGUAAUUCUUUUGUCAUGUUUUGUGGGAGCGAAGUCUUCGUAGUAUCAAUAUUAUAAUUCUUUUGUCAUGUUUUGUAGGAGAGAAGUCUUCUUAGUAUCAGUAUUAUAAUUCUUUUGUCAUGUUUUGUAGGAGAGAAGUCUUCGAAGUAUCAGUAUUGUAGUUCUUUUGUCGUUUUUUGUAGGAGAGAAGCCAUCGUAGUAUCAGUAUUGUAAUUCUUUUGUCAUGUUUUGUGGGAGCGAAGUCUUCGUAGUAUGAAUAUUAUAAUUCUUUUGUCAUGUUUUGUAGGAGAGAAGUCGUCGUAGUAUCAGUAUUAUAAUUCUUUUGUCAUGUUUUGUAGGAGAGAAGUCUUCGUAGUAUCAGUAUUGUAAUUCUUUUGUCAUGUUUUAUGGGAGAGAAGUCUCCUUAGUAUCAAUAUUGUAGUUCUUUUGUCGUUUUUUGUAGGAGCGAAGUCUUCGUAGUAUCAAUAUUAUAAUUCUUUUGUCAUGUUUUGUAGGAGAGAAGUCUUCGUAGUAUAAAUAUUGUAGUUCUUUUGUCAUGUUUUGUGGGAGCGAAGUCUUCGUAGUAUGAAUAUUAUAAUUCUUUUGUCAUGUUUUGUGGGAGAGAAGUCCUCGUAGUAUCAGUAUUAUAAUUCUUUUGUCAUGUUUUGUAGGAGAGAAGUCUUCGUAGUAUCAGUAUUGUAAUUCUUUUGUCAUGUUUUAUGGGAGAGAAGUCUCCUUAGUAUCAAUAUUGUAGUUCUUUUGUCGUUUUUUGUAGGAGGAAGUCUUCGUAGUAUCAAUAUAUAAUUCUUUUGUCAUGUUUUGGAGAGAAGUUCAGUAUGUUUUGUCAGUCUUUCGUAUAUGAAUAUUAAUUCUUUGUCAUGUUUUGUAGGAGAGAAGUCGUCGUAGUAUCAGUAUUGUAAUUCUUUUGUCAUGUUUUGUGGGAGCGAAGUCUUCGUAGUAUGAAUAUUAUAAUUCUUUUUGUCAUGUGAGAGGAACUCGUCGUAUACAGUAUUGUAUUCUUUUGUCAGGUUUUGGGAGCGAAGUCUUCGUAGUAUGAAUAUUAUAAGUUCGUUUUUGUGUCUUUUGUGUUUUGUUGGAGCGAAGUCUUCGAGUAUGAAUAUUUAUAAUUUCUUUGUCAUUUUUGUGGGAGCGAAGUCUUCGUGAGUAUCUUUAGUAUUGUAAUCGUUGUCAUGUUUUGUGGGACGAAGUCUUCGUAGUAUCAAUAUUAUAAUUCUUUGUCAGUUUUGUAGGAGAGAAGUCUUCGUAGUAUGAAUAUAAUCUUUUGUCAUGUUUGUGGGAGCGAAGUCUUCGUAGUAUGAAUAUUAUAAUUCUUUUGUCAUGUUUUGUGGGAGCGAAGUCUUCGUAGUAUCAAUAUUAUAAUUCUUUUGUCAUGUCUUGUGGGAGAGAAGUCUCCUUAGUAUCAGUAUUGUAAUUCUUUUGUCAUGUCUUGUGGGAGAGAGAUCUUCGUUGUAUCAGUAUUGUAAUUAUUUUGUCAUGUUUUGUAGGAAAGAAGUCUUCGUAGUAUCAGUAUUGUAAUUCUUUUGUCAUGUUUUGUGGGAGAAAAGUCUUCGUAGUAUCAGUAUUAUAAUUCUUUUGUCAUGUUUUGUGGGAGAGAAGUCUCCUUAGUAUCAGUAUUGUAAUUCUUUUGUCAUGUCUUGUGGGAGAGAGAUCUUCGUUGUAUCUAUAUUGCAAUUCUAUUUCUAUUGUCAUUUGUGACGACGGGUGCCACAUGUGGAGCAGGAUGCUUACCCUUCCGGAGCACAUGAAAUUACCCCUCGUUUUGGUGGGGUUUGUGUUGCUUAUUUUUUA
rnacentral:lncRNA from 1 species